ensembl:lincRNA
CGAGACAUAGAAAGAGGUUGCAGGCAAGAAUCAAGGGCUUGCAGGGGCACCAGACCAUCAAGACUUCCAGGAGAAAUUACGGAAACAUCUGCAAGGUUAAGUCAGGAAGUCCAGGGGCUGCUUCCCAGAGAGGGAAGUGCCUUUCUUGGGACUGCUGCCACAGAGCUGAAACGGUGCAUAACCUGGGGCCAAGGAGGCUGAUUGAAGAUGAGGGAUUAGACUCCAAGAAGGAUCAAGAAUCCAUCAACUCAACUCCACUCCUUCAGCCACACCGAGGAGGAACGUACUGAAUAUCAAGAAUACUUCAGAGGAUCUUGGAGCAGAGAUGGUACUUCCACAUAACACAGUGCACCUUGAUGAUAUUAGCAUCCACUGCCAAUAAGCAUAAAGGUAAUCAUGGGGAAGGUAAUGCAUUAUCUGGCUGAAAGAGCAUUCAUCCCUCAAUG